UACGGAGGGCGCAAGCGUUGCUCGGAAUCACUGGGCGUAAAGCGAACGCAGGCGGCGCAACAAGUCGGAUGUGAAAGCCCGGGGCUCAACCCCGGAACUGCAUUCGAAACUGUUGUGCUUGAAUACGGGAGAGGGGAGUAGAAUUCCUGGUGUAGAGGUGAAAUUCGUAGAUAUCAGGAGGAAUACCAGUGGCGAAAGCGGCUCCCUGGCCCGAUAUUGACGCUCAUGUUCGAAAGCGUGGGUAGCAAAC
rnacentral:rRNA from 1 species